GUGCUUGCUUCAGCAGCACAUAUACUAAAAUUGGAACAAUACAGAGAAUUUUAGCAUGACCUUUGUGCAAGGAUGACACACAAAUUCAUGAAACAUUCCAUAUUUUU